rnacentral:rRNA from 1 species
CACGCUGUAAACGAUGAUGACUAACUAUGGCCGUGAGGCCGUGGUGAAGCUAACGCAUUAAGUCAUCCGCCUGGGAAGUACGGUCGCAAGACUGAAACUUAAAGGAAUUGACGGGACCCCGCACAAGCAGUGGAGCAUGUGGUUUAAUUCGACGCUACGCGAGAAACCUUACCAGGGUUUGACAUGGCGGAUAAGGCCGUAGAGAUACGGAGAUAAUACCCGCACACAGGUGG